rnacentral:lncRNA from 1 species
AUUAUGCAAAUUAUCGUUAUGUAUAAAUUGUGUCUGUCACAUUAGCAGGCAGAUGAAUCUGAAACUGGUGGCAUUAAAGAUGUGGGCCCUGUUUUAAUGCAUGCCACCUUUGUGUAUGAGGAGCAGGAAUGAGCAAGAGUGUCCUUGGUCUGCCUCAUCCUUGUUUCAGUGCUCUCCAUGUGUUGAAAGCAACUGCCUGUAGCUGAGAGCUUUCUGUCCAUGGAAACGCCAUACAAUUUAUGAUCCUUUUUUUCCAGAGUUCUAAAUUCCAUGCACUAAACUGCAUUCCCUAGAAACAGAUCAACCCCUAAACUAGGAGGGUGGUAGAAAGAGGAAGAUGGCAGAGCUAGUACACUCAUGCCCCUCUCCCUCUACUUGUGUGUUUUUAGAGAUGGCAUGCAUUAAAACACCUGGAAAAUUAGUCAUGCUUACAAGAGAUAUACUGAAGCCAAGGCUGCUUAAGUGGAUUCUCAAUGCCAUGGACUAAACUGCAUCCUCUGCAAACAGCUCUGUUGGGUGUUGCAACCUCCUGAAGCUGAAGAUGGUAAGGAGUGACAUGCAGACCCUGGACACCCAUGAGAUAUGGAGGCAGCUCUUCUCCAGAGUCAGAAGAAGAGUCUGUACCCUCCCAGCCCACAAGUUGAUGCAAACUGGAAGUAUGAGUUUGGUUUGAGGCA